GUUGUUAGCUGUAUCAGUUAGGGAUGGGUUGCCCUCUCUACAUUUUGACCAGUUAUGGGUUACUGCUACAAAAAGAAACUUUGAAGAGGUUUGUCAGCUAUAUGUAAUCGUUAUCUUAGGAGUAUGAGAACUUUUGACAUGUAUAUGUCUUUAACUUUUCUGAAUAUAGCUUUUAAUAAAUAGAUCUUGUACAUUUUCUGUUUAGUUAACUGAAUAUUUUAAAAUUCUUGAUGCUGGUAGUUAUAAAAUUUCAUUUUCUGACUCACAUCUAAUAUAUAAAAUCUACAGUCUUGUUAGACUCACUUACUCCUUGUAAUGGCUUUUAUGCAUAUUCUGGACAAUUUUCUGUUUGGAUAGAGAUUGGCAGUGCAUUGAAAAAUUUUGAAACAGACAGAAAGAGAUGAUGCAUUUCAGCUCUUGUUAAUGUUGAGAACUGCCUUAUUGAUGUGUAUAUGGGGAGCGGGGACUAAAUGCCUGAAUUAGAGAAUACUUUUUAAGAUAUAUAAUUACCGUUUAUUUGCAUUUUAAUCAUAAAUACAUUUUUCUCUUAAUGUAGUGCCCUUAAGCUCUGACAGCUUGAUAGAAUGAAGCAUAUGUGCAUACAGGUUAUUGUUUCCCUCUGGUAUGGAUUAGGUUGUAUUUAAUUCGUGCACUAGAUGUAAUUACUUUGAUGUGUUUUGAUACUUGCUAAACUAUCUUACCAGCCCCAUACAAUAUUUUUUAAAAUUGAAAGAGGGAAGUGGGAGGGGGGAAGAGAGAAGAUAUGCAUGAGGAUAUAUAGAGAGAUGGGCAUCUGGGUGUUCAGUUCUAUCACUCUCUGCCCUGUUCUCUUGUGACAGGGUCUCUCACUCAACCUGGAGCUAGGCUGGUGGCCAGUAAAUCCAAGCAAUUUCCCUGCGUUCUUUCAUCCAUAGUACUGAAGUUAAAGGUGUGCAAAGCUGUGCUUGGCUUUGUUUUUAUACGAGUGUUAAGAAUUUGAACUUAGGUUCUCAGUUUUAAAUUAUAAGUGUUCUUAUCUACUGAGCCAUCUCCUCCCACUCCCCUGAAAUUAAGAUUUAAAAAAUUUUGCUACAAGGUGAUGAGCACAUACCUGUAAAAGCCCUAGAUAUUCCGACUGCGAUAGGAAAGCCACUUAAGCUUAGGAGAAGCAAGACUUUGUUGGUGAUUGAUUGAUUGAUCAAUUGAUAAUACAGAUAUAUCAAUAGAAGGAUCGUGAGUUAUAAAAAUUUUAAUUAUGUGUUAAUUCAGAAACAGUUCUCAUUGAUCAUUUCAGCUCUGUUUUCUUAUUUUAGCAAAGGUCAACAUUUCUAAUUUAUUGCAACAUAAAGUGAGCAUAAAGUCAGAAGGGCAUCUUAUACAUACAUUUUGUCGAACCAGUGCUACACAAUGUUUACUUUAAAAUGUAUAGGUUAAAACAGACAUUUAAAAUAUUUGUUCCUGGCAGAGGCAGGUUGAUCUCUGAGUCCAACCUGGUCUACAGAACAAAUUACAGGAUAUCCAGGGCUAAACAGAGAAACCCUGUCUCAAAACAAAACCAAAACAAAUAGCAACAACAACAAAACCCCAUUUAAUUGCCUUAAAUUUUAAACUGGAACUUUAAAAUUUUCAUAUUUCUUCAUUUGUAUUUUCUAUUAUAUGAAUAAUAUGGCUGAAAAUUAGCAUUUUUCUAGAGUUAGUACAGCUUCAUGAUUUCAGCAAUAUAUAUGCUGUAUUGCCUUGUUUUCACACCGUACCUAGGAAUGGCAGUGAGAAGGGGUGCCUGAAAGAACACUGAGGUGCGUUGGAUUGUGGUUGGUAUUUGUACAGUGUUAGUUUUUAGGAUAAAAAUAAACUCCAAGGGAUGUCUUUUGUCAGGGUUGUCCUGUUUUAUCAUCUUUUUGGAUGUGACAGAUUGGACUAUAAUUGUGGUCCCCAGAAUACAUCUUGCAGCAUCACCAUGUUAUAAAUGUCGCUUAGAAACUUCUUGAUUAUCUGUCACAUAUGUAUUAGACAAAUAUAAAACCCAUUUAAUUUGGAGUUCGCAUUCCCAGAAGAUUAAAACUAAACAGUGAAAGUCAUGAUGUACAUCUAUAGGCAGCUUUAAUGAUUCAACUGUUACUUAGCCCUUGGAAUCUAGUGUUUUUGUUAAAUUAACGUUAAUCUCUUCCCCACAGAUGUAGCGAGGCCUGCUUUUGUUCCUUUAAUGUCAUCUUGAAUGUGAGUGUGUAGUCUAGAGAAUGAUGGAUGCUCAGUGAUACAGCCCCUGGAGAUGCUGUGUGGUCUCUCAGUCAGGCAGGGCAGGUUCUAUUUUAUUUGGUUUCUUUUCAGUUUUCCUCAUCUUCUGUCAUGAUUAAGUUAUCAAAGGGCUUGGUAUCACCUGAAAUUUCAAAAAUUAGCUAGAAACACUAUGAUUUUGGAGGCAGUGCUGUGGUAUGUGUAGGUGUCU
rnacentral:lncRNA from 1 species